ACAAACGCAUCAUAUGAGGAGAAAAUUGGGUAUUUGUCAUACUCAGACCUUAUAUAGGCGAAGGUAUGCUAAUCAAUUGCUAAAUCAAGGAACAAGUAAGGUGAGGCGAAAUUGAUGUGUGGUGGUGUUUGUGCGUGCUGCUUCUAAUAUUACCUUGGGCUCGCCGUCUAGGAAGAUCGUGGAGCCAGGGGCGUAGGUGAGGAGGGAGCGGCCGUUGCGGGGGUUGAAGCGGAUGGCGACGCCGCGUUUGCGGGCGGCGGGGUCGAAGGCGAAGACGGACUUGAGGCCGUGCUGCUCCAGGAUGUCGCCCACCUCCAGCUGGUCCUGCG
rnacentral:lncRNA from 1 species